UAAUCACAAUUAGAAAAAAAGUAAAGAUAUGGUGCCUGCCCUCAGGAAGGUUUUUAUUUAAACUGGAGAGAAUCAACUGUAUAGGACCAGUAAUAAUACAUAUUGCCAUAAAUACCAAUCAGGGUGAUUUUUCAGCUCACAACAACUGCUCUACUUUAGGAACAGGCCCAGCCACAGAGGUGGACCUGAAGUAAUGAUGUCCAGUAUUCUUGCAACUUAACACUGACCUCUGGCCACCUCCUAGGGGUAGACAACUGAUCAAAACUGUACCAGUUUUGAAACUUGAAUGGAGAGAUUGGAGGCUGCGGCUGGUUGAAGCUGUACUUUAAUGGCAGUGGCCAUAAACUCCAGUUACUGAAGUCCCCAGAGUUUCCCAACUUCCUGCACUUUCCAAGGCCAAGUUAGUUAGCUCCAUGUUUGGUUCUCAGAGCGAGCAAUAAAUCCUUCCAGUACAUCCCUCUAUUUACUGAAGCUAGUCACAAUUAUUCUCUGCUGUUUUUCACAAAAUAACUUCAAUUAAAAUUAAACCAGACUUUCUCUUUCUGGGAAAUAAACGUUGUCAAUUUUCACAAAGCAAGUUUAACAGAGUAUGGUGGGAAAUAAUACGAUUGUUUUCAUAAUUAUGCAUAAAUAAAUAAAAUUAAGGUGGUCAGUUGAGGACUUGCUGAUGAUGGGGGAGUCUUCAGUCAGAAAAUAAUAUAGGUGAUUCACUGGCUAAUUUAUACAUUAACAUGGCAAAUUCUUGCUCUAUAAGCAAACUCUUCACCCUGAAGGAGCGGCUCGUUGCUUAUUCCAGGCACUGGUUAUUUUCCUACUGGAUAUGUUGGGGGGUGAAGAGGAAAGGGUUGUGUGUGUAGCCCCCAAACUGUGCAGGGUUCCUCCCACAGUCUCCUGGUCGUUAUUCAGUUGCAAAACUUCGCUGGUCUGAGAAGACUGGAAAGAGGAAGCUAGAGGAGCUGUGGCCCCGAGCUGAGUGUGCCAUUUUCCCUCUGACAGGCUUUGCUGAGACGACCAGUGAGGAAAAAGAUAUGUGUAUAUUGAAAGAAAGAAGGGAGAAACCCAGGAAGCUCUCUCUUGGGAAAUGAUCCAACCGGGUCAAAAUUCUGCUAUAAUUUCUAGCAAAGUUUGCCCCCACAUGAGGACCCGAGAUCACAGCAACGAGGGGGUGACUUCGACAAAGAGGGGACUUGGAGGGGCGCCUUAAUGACUGCUGGGCACAGGCCGUGUCCUGUGGGAAGGGUCUCUGUUCACCCAACCUGCGAUUUCUGCCCAGUGCCUGGUACAGAGCUUCUCUUAGCAGAGUUCAGUAAACGUUUCCAGAACAGAGGAUGCGAGGGCGGAGAGAGGGAGAGGGGCGGACCGCGCAAAAGGCAGGACCAAUGGCUCCGGAAGCCGCUGAAAAAAUCCGGCCACGAGACCCAGGAGAGGCCUCGCGUGACUCCUUGAAAACCUCGCGGAUUUCCGGGCAGGAAGUCAAAGGGCGGGCACUGAGGCGCUCGUCGGCUUCGAAACUGGAAAAGAGUAAGAGGACUUGGCGGAUUUAGCGGCCCAGGACCGAGGUUACCCAGGAAGUGGAUCUGAGACGGAGGUUUCGGGCUCAGAGAGUGCUGCACCUCACCCCCAAGUGGAUUUAUCUUAGAGAUUUUCCAGUAAAAUUGCAAGGUCUCUUUUCAAGAGCAUUACCAAAGGCCAAAGCUGUUACUGCAGCAGGUUUUAAGAGUUGAUCCAGGGCUCCAGUGGGCUUGGUGGGAGGCACUGGUCCAGAUCGGCAGGACAGGACGGAAAUGAAACUGGUUAUCUAUUUAAUCAAGAAUGGAAAUCUUUGCUUAUACUCCUUCAGCUAUAAAACCCUCAUGCUUGGACAGUC